rnacentral:lncRNA from 1 species
CAAGACUCUCCAGACUGGAGAGAACUUUUAGAUUUCCUGGCAGGGACUCCAUUUUGCAUUCCCAAAAGUACAGGUGCUUGACAGAUAAGAGAUUUACAGAUUCUCCAAAUGAAGCUGACGGCUCCUUGCAAUCAAGAAGAGCAAGAUAUGGUGGGACUAUAAACCCUUCAGCCUUGAGCAUCUGGUUGAGCAGUACGAAACUACUAACGGUGAGCCAUUUCUGGACACGAAACUGUGAGAUGCACUUGGCAGUGAGGUUUGGAACAUCUCCCAAACUUAGUUCAUCAAGUUGCCAGGAAGACAAGCGUUCAAGAGAGCACAGAUCGGGGAGACCACAUAGAUCUAAUGAUUCAAGGGAGGUCAGGUGGCCAAUCGACAAGGAUGGGGAGCUUCUGCAAUAUCCAAUGCAAAGAGAUUUCAGGUGUGGCAAGCCAUUAAUGAACGAAUCGGCUGCAAGAAUGCAGCCUGUUAUGUUGAGGUGUCCAGCAAGGUUGAAUGACAUAAAUUCUGCUCCACGUGCCAGAUCUAAAGAAGGGCAAUCAAUACAAUAAAGUCUGGAAAGAGAUGGAGCAGCACGUAAGCCCCCCAGUGAUCUGAGACACCAACAACCUCUUACCGUCAACGAGUCAAGCUUUAUCAAAUGCUCAAACACCUCUUCUGACGGAAGUGCAGAUAAUGCCAUAUUAUAUUCCAUUAUUAACGUUGUCAAUGAAGUGAGGCCACCAAGGCAAAUAGCUAAAGCUUCAUCUGUAAUACUGCAUGAAGAAAGAACAAGACCAACAAGUCCAAAUGGUAGAACCAGUGGCAGCUCCAUGGUCCUUCCAUAAAUGACUCUUAUCCUCUGCUCAUGGCAAAAAAGCCAUGCCUUGAUCAUAUUUUCUUUGUCUGAUAUAUAUCUCCUCCUUCCUCUAGGCCACUUUCAAUAAUUUGAAGAUGUUGUGAUAUAUCAUCACCCAUCUGCGUUGUCAACUGCUUCAGGGAUGAAUAGUCCUCUACAAGUACUUCCGUAAUAUUAAAUCCUGAAUUGACCUCCCACAUCGAUGCAAGUUUAGAUGCCAGGUCCUCUGUCUUCAUUAUAUUUCCCCUCAGACCAUGCUGGUCGAGCUCAUUUUUGGAGACAAACAUAAGCAGUGGGCACGUCUGAAUUGACAAUUUUGUAAGCAUUGCUGGAAGACAAGGUAAUAUUUUCAAUUUUGGAACAUUUUCUAGCGGAUGUGUGAAAUCUGCAACGGAUUGGCAAUUUUCAAUUUUGACAAUUUUGGAAUAUUUUCCACCUGCCUCGCAAGUCCCAACUGUGGACUGUGCACAGUCGCCAAACAGAGAACCGAGGGGACAGCAUCUGCAACGGAUUGGCUUCUGACUUGAACUGGGUGGCGAGUCAGUGUCGUGUUGUGCUUGUGCCAGGGUGACCUUGAGGUCGAGGUGCCUGUUUACAACAUGAAAUGUUUUUAAAAUAUAAAAUAUUGGAAACCUUAUUCAUUGUGCUGGAUAAUGAAUCAGCAGAACCUAUACCUCCUCAUUUCGUUGAAGAUCAUUCAUAGAAGUGCUUCCAGCGGAUGUGUGAAAUCUGUGGCCAGCUUUCUCCAUCAGGCUCUCGGCAGUUCUUCUUCAAGUCGUCACAACCAUAUAUACUUAUACGCUGGAGGGAGGAUGGCAGAACUGGUAAAGAUGUUAUGUUGGGGCAAAUGCCGAUAUCAAGCCUCUCCAGACUGGAGAGAAAUUGUAGAUUUCCUGGCAGGGACUCCAUUUUGCAUCGCCAAAAGUACAGGUGCUUGACAGAUAAGAGAUUUGCACAUUCUCCAAAUGAAGCUGACGCCUCCUUGCAAUAACGAAGAAUAAGGUUCAGUGGGACUAUAAACCCUUCAGUCUUGAGCAUCUGGUUGAGCAGUACGAAACUACUAACGCUGAGCCGUUUCUGGACACGAAACUGUGAGAUGCACUUGGCAGUGAGGUUUGGAACAUCUAUCAAACUUAGCUUUUCAAGUUGCCAGGAAGACAAGCCUUCGAGAGUGCACAGAUCGGGGAGACCACGUAGAGAUAAUGAUUCAAGAGAGGUCAGGUGGCCAAUCGAUAAGCAUGGGGAGCUUCUGCAACAGUAAAUGCAAAGAUAUUUCAGGUGUGGCAAACCAUUAAUGAAUGAAUCAGCUGCAAGAAUGCAGCCACGUAUGUAGAGGUCUCCAGCAAGGUUGAAUGACAUAAAUUCUGCUCCAUGUGCCAGAUCUAAAGAAGGGCAAUUAAUACAAUGAAGUCUGGAAAGAGAUGGAGCAGCAUGUGAGCCCCCCAGUGAUCUGAGACACCAACAACCUCUUACAGUCAACCAGUCAAGCUUUGUCAAAUGCUCAAACACCUCUUCUGAAGGAAGUGCAGUUAAUGCCAUAUUAUAUUCCAGUAUUAACGUUGUCAAUGAAGUGAGGCCACCAAGGCAAAUAGCUAAAGCUUCAUCUGUAAUACUGCAUGAAGAAAGAUAAAGUUCACGUAUUCCUGAUGGUAGAACCAGUGGCAGCUCCAUGGUCCUUCCAUAAAUGACUGUUAUCCUCUGCUCAUGGCAAAAAAGCCAUGCCUUGAUCAUAUUUUCUUUCUCCAAUAUUAUAUCAACUCCUUCCUCUAGGCCACUUUCAAUAAUUUGAAGAUGUUGUGAUAUAUCAUCACCCAUCUGCGUUGUCAACUGCUUCAGGGAUGAAUAGUCCUCUGCAAGUACUUCCCUAAUAUUUGAUCCUGAAUUGACCUCCCACAUUGAUGCAAGUUUAGAUGCCAGGUCCUCUGUCUUCAUUAUAUUUCCCCUCAAAUCAUGCUGGUUGAGCUCAUUUUUAGACACAAACAUAAGCAGUGGGCACGUCUGAAUUGACAAUUUUGUAAGCAUUGCUGGAAGACAAGGUAAUACCUUCAAUUUUAGAACAUUUGUUAGGGACAGCCUAGUGCACUGCCGUAGGAGCUCAGUAUUAGGGGGUAGGCCUUCUAACAAAGUGCAGCCAUUAAGCUUAAAACAUUCCAAAUUUUCAAAAUAGGAUGGCUCGAGUAACCACCUUUGGAUAUGUGUCAGAUUUGUAGCCUUUGAUUGUGACGACACGAAGUUGGGGCGACGGUCUCAGACCUUCUAGAAUAUCCAAAUGUAAAGUAUCUGCUGCAUCCAUUCCAUUCUCGCUACUCCAGGCAAGCUGCAACUUUUUAAGGCGAUUCUUCUGAUAUAGCAUGGACUCUAAGGCUUCUUCCUUUUCUGAAACAUUCUCAAGAUUUUGUACUCUUAAACUGCCACCAAGCUCAUUCAAGCCCUUCAGCUGCCACAACUCGUAUCCUUGCUUCUUUUGCACAAAAAAGGUAUGGAUGUGUUGUAGCGAAGUUAGCUUGCCUAUAUUGGGAAUUUGAUGAAUAGAUUUUUCAAUCAAGGCACGUGGGUACUCCGUGUACACCCCCAUAUGUCGUAACUUACUUAAGUUGCUAAGCUUGUCAGGCAACCUGUCCACCAUUGGGCUUAACUGAAGUAGCUGCAAGUGGUAAAGAGUACAUAAUGAUCUAGGCAAUUCAGAAAUUAACGUUCUGAUAAGGUUCAAAUACCGAAGGUGCUUCAGCCUACCAAUAGAUUCAGGCAACUUACUACUGUUGUAGAAUGACAAAUACAAUACACGUAACUUCUUCUGGUUCUGCAGCAUCUGAUCAAAAAUAUCGCUUGCAUCAUCCAUUAGUGGAUCAAUGCAGAUGAUAGUGCGUAAAUGCUGUAGCUUGUAGAUAAUUUGCUUAUGCUUUUGCAAACUCUGAACCUGAAGAGAGAGAUGUCGAACAGUGCAUGGUACUUCUCUGAUAUUAUCCUCUUCUAAUCUGAAGCAGUCUUCUACAGAGAGUGACUGUGCCAAAUCAUGAAGGAUGUCGUGCAUGAUAUAGUAUGAAUAACACUCUGUUUCAGAAACCAAUUGAAAGAAAGACCCAAAGAGCAUCUCAUUGAAAUAAUCCCUCCCGACAUCUUCCAUUGUCAUGCUACUCAAAUUACAUGAACCAACAAGCCCUUCUGCCACCCAAAGGUGAACCAACUCAUCAGGUUUAUAUUUAUGACCUUUUGGGAAUAAGCUGCAAUACAAGAAGCACCUCUGCAGACGUGGAUCUAACUUCUUGUAACUCCACAAGAGAACUGUGAAGGGCUCACUUAAAUCUCUGAGCUUUAGAGCACCUUUCCAUUCAGCAGUAUCUUUUUUUGUGCUCAACCGGGAACCAAGAACUUUUGCUGCCAAAGGACAUUGUCCAAGCCUUUUAGCAAUCUCCACUGCAGUAUGUUCCAGAUUAUUGUGCAAAAGUUCAUCUCCAAUUUUUGCUCCAGAGAAAGCAUGGUGUUUGAAGAGUGCCAAGAAAUUGGCAUCAUCCAAUUUUUCCAAAUGAACAACUUGUUGUUGAUCACAGAAAACAGCGGCCGGAAGUGUUUCACGCCGAGAAGUCACCAAAACUUUGCUUCCCAUCUGUUUAGAGACGAAUGGAUCCAGGAGCUGAAACCACUCUGUCUCGCUGUCUGAUUUUUCGAACCAAACAUCAUCCAAGACAAGUAGGAAUUUCUCUGACUUCUGCAGUAUGUCACGUAAUUUGCACUGGAGAGUAUCAAGAUUAUUAAUACAUGGGCACUCCCCAUUUGUUGCAGACUCAAUAAUCUCCCUUGUGUGACGACGGACAUCAAGCUUGCGUGAGAUGCAGACCCACAUUGUCGACGAAAGCUAGUCGGCAGUCUACCUUGGGGUAUACCCACGGUAGUAGUUUAUCGGUAGACGGUGCGCAAACUACGAACUCGAUGGUGACGCAAGACACGGACAAGCUUUUUAUCCAGGUUCGGCCGCCGAGUUGGCGUAAUACCUACGUCCUGCGUCUGGUUGUAUUGGAUUGUGUUGAGAGAUAAUCUGUCCUAGGGGGUCCCUUGCCCCUCUUUAUAUAGUCUGGAGGGCAGGGUUACAGAUCUAGAAACUAAUCCUAGUCGGUUACAAUUGCCAUGGAUAAUUCGAUAUCAAUUCCUAUUCUAACCGACUAGAAUCCUGCUUGAUCUCCACGUCUUGUUUCCUUGCGCGAAACUCGGGCUGUCGGAUCAAGCCUUGAACUCGUCUCGUAGUGGGCCAAGCUUCCUGGCUGAAGUCUAGCCGUAAGGGUAUAGGGGUUUAUACCCCCACAGCUAGUCCCCGAGCGCCAUGUAUUGUGAUGCAACACGCCGUCUUGAGCUUCUUCGACCAGCGAGGCCUGUCGUCUUCAAUGAGCGGGGAAAUCGCCCAAACAGUUGCAACGGUAUUUUGACCAACUCAAAAGACAGUUGAUCAACAUUGACAUCGAAGAAGCAGGUUGUUCGAAGAAUGCAUGGUGCUCUUAAUUAAAAAAGAUUUCUUUCCUGGUGAAGUGUGCCCACUUUACUUUUCUGAAUAGUAUAGUCUUUCAAAAAGCAAGCAUAUUCACCGCAAGGUGAAGUGUGCCCACUUAGUCCCCGAGCCUGGUAGUAGGUGACGUAGGCACGUGGUGCCAGGGUCAAAAGAAAAGUCCUCAAAGAAAUUCUGAAACUGAGAUGCAUCGCCAGAUGCAUCGUACCGAUGUAGUCCCCGAGCUUGCUGGAAGGCGAAGUAUGAGCCUUGUAGCAAGGUCUAAAAAAUUGAAUUUACCAGUCCCCGAGCAUAUCAUGCUCGUAUGCAAUUGAAUAGACUAAUCGACCAGUCCCCGAGCAUAGAACGCUCGGUGGUCGGUACAGUCUCCGAAUUCUCAAAUUGGUGGGCUGGUCGACCAGUCCCCGAGCGUAUAGUGCUCGGUGGUCGGUGCAGUCCCCAAGUUCUUAAAUUGGUGAGCUGGUCGACCAGUCCCCGAGCGUAUAGUGCUCGGUGGUCGGCACAGUCCCCGAGCACGGCGUAGGGACCGGUGGACAAGUCCCCGAGCGUGGUUGGGAACGUAAACGUGCUCGGUGGUCGGCACAGUCUUCGAGCAUAGCAUAGAGAGUAGUCGACAAGUCCCCGAGCGUGGUUGGGAACGUAAACGUGCUCGGUGGUCGGAGCAGUCCCCGGGCACGGCGUAGGGAAUAGUCGACGAGUCCCCGAGCGUAGCUUGUCGACUGGGCCAAACUCCUGAAAAAUAAAUAUAGAGAAAAUAGGUAGUACAUGAUGUAUAAAUAAACUCUAGAUAAAAAAUCAGCACUGAGAUAAGUUUUAGACUUUUUAUUAUAAAAUUAGCACGAGUAGUUAAUUCAUCCUAGAGCUUGUACCAGCUCUGGUCUAGCCAACAAUCAGCAUGAGGUGCGGAACCUAGACACGCGUGGGAUUGCCAGCCUCGCCAGAGAGCUACUGCCGACCACCCGGAACGCAGAGGGCGGAUCUCGUGCACGUGUAGGGAGGAGUCGGAGACAGUACCGGCUCUGGAAAGCUCGUGUAGGAGAAAAAACUAGUGUGGCUAAACAAAAAGUUGUUUUUGAAGGAUAAUAAAAAAUAUUAUGCCAAAAAUAAAUAAGAUAUUAGAAGUGUACUUAUCUUUGGAUGAAAGUCUGGUCGGUGACGACCAAAUUGUCUGGCCCUCGAGCUUUUGGACUUGUUAUCGUGACGGUGGUCGCGGUUGUCGUAGCGCCGUUCUUCGCGGCGAUUAUUAUUGCGACUGGUGGUCAGAGCCAGUAGGCCAAACAACUUGGUCGUUAGCCCGAGCAGAUCGAUGUCGUCGAUCUGCCUCUCUUUGUAGUAGGGAAGCAGGUGACGCAUUGUCGGCGUGGUCGGAGACGCUGCUGGUGUGGUCGAAGUCGUAGCCAGCGUGGUUGGAGCUGCAGCCGACGUCGGUGAAGAAGUGAUCGGCACAGAUUGGAUCUACGCCUCCUUCGCGGUCGUGGUGGUGAAGCUGUUGAAGCUGACGGUGAACGUGAAGCCGCCCGCCAUGGCCACGAAGUUUGGGAUGAUAGCCAUCUUGUUCGUCUAGGAGAGCUGUACGCACACCCCCUACCUGGCGCGCCACUGUCGACGAAAGCUAGUCGGCAGUCUACCUUGGGGUAUACCCACGGUAGUAGUUUAUCGGUAGACGGUGCGCAAACUACGAACUCGAUGGUGACGCAAGACACGGACAAGCUUUUUAUCCAGGUUCGGCCGCCGAGUUGGCGUAAUACCUACGUCCUGCGUCUGGUUGUAUUGGAUUGUGUUGAGAGAUAAUCUGUCCUAGGGGGUCCCUUGCCCCUCCUUAUAUAGUCUGGAGGGCAGGGUUACAGAUCUAGAAACUAAUCCUAGUCGGUUACAAUUGCCAUGGAUAAUUCGAUAUCAAUUCCUAUUCUAACCGACUAGAAUCCUGCUUGAUCUCCACGUCUUGUUUCCUUGCGCGAAACUCGGGCUGUCGGAUCAAGCCUUGAACUCGUCUCGUAGUGGGCCAAGCUUCCUGGCUGAAGUCUAGCCGUAAGGGUAUAGGGGUUUAUACCCCCACACACAUCCUGAUAUCAAAGCCUUCUUCUAUCCUCUUGUCAUUGUAGACAUACUGCACUAAGGUGGACUUCCCCAUUCCGCCGGCACCAAUAAUGGCCAAACUUGAGUACCUAGUCGAACUUGCCUCGUCAGCUGCUGUCUUGCCAAGAAGAAAAUCUACUAUACGAUCGCGAUCCUUGUCACGACCGAAAACCUUUGAUGUGGAAAGUGAUGUCACUGUGGUUGGAGGAACAAUGGUUGCUGGUACAUUUGGCCACCCUAAACCUGUAGUAUUUCCAGGUGCUAUGCUAAGAAGAUCCCGAAGCUCCUUGGCUUCUGUUAGGAUAGCUUUGAUCUCAUUCAUCUUGCUAAUUAGCCUUCUAUUCUCAGGGAGCAAGUUGCGUGCCUUGCUCUUAGCAGUAUGAAAAGGCUUCAUGAUUGUUGAUGCAAUGGAGGAUGUUUCAUCCUCUCCUAGCAGGGGAUCUUUUCCGCUCUUGGCCUUGCGCUUGAGGAGAUUGUACUCAUGCUCGUCCAGCAGGUCCUCAGCAUCAUAAAAGGCUUCUUUGAGCCGCCGAAGCCAUGCCUCGAGCUUGCCCUUAUGGGGGCUCUUCUCUGCUGCUUGAAUCACCAGAUCAAAUUGUGGCAGGACGGUGGCUUCUAGUUUUUGGAGCUCACGCACCAUGUCCACACUGAGGUAAGCUGAAGCUUCGUUAAGAAGCUUGUUGAAAAUGGGCGAUGCUGCCCACCUUAACCCAGCGAGUGCCAAGUCUGCCAUGGAAUUGGAGUGGUUUGUGCUUCUCCUUUGUGGGUGUGGACUGGAGAGAUCUUGGAUGAAUAUUUCCAGGUGAAAAGAAGAGGACAAUUGAUUGGCAAUGGCACGAAAUGAUUGUGUUUUUCUUGGAAAUGUAAAUGAUGGGAAACAAGCAAAGAGUACAAUUAAUAUCUUUUUUCCUUCCUUUUUUGGGGUUUUCUAUUUUUUCUUUCUUUUUUUUUGUCGUAGGAGUGAAAUGAAUAAGUUGAAGAUGCAGGGUGCAAGGGUCUGGUGGCGAAGAGAAAGAUUAAACAGGAAAAGAAAGAUAAAUGGAUGGACAAUGGAAACUGUUUUCUUUUUUAUGUAUGGACGAGGUGCUUCUGCAGAAGGCAAGUUACUGAUAAGGACAACAACGGAAUGAAGAAAACCUGGAAUUAAGAAGACGCAUAGAAUUAGUGAUUCUGAUUGGGAAAAUGGAAGACAAAUUGAUUAUUUUUCUUUCUCAUGUGCUACAGCACACAGAAUGAAAUAGCUACUAACAAGUUAACACAACAAACUAAGGAGAUUGGUGAUCUUACAUGGUUUUGCGGGAUGAAGUUACACCAAGUAAAAAAAAUCAAGGGCGCUGGGAGCAGAGUUGCUGGAGCUAGUGUCGACAACGAGCACGAGGUGGCCGAAGUGGUGGACGGGACUCUGGAACAAGCACUGCACUUCAAGAGAACAAACAGGCAGCCAGCCAAGAAUAAGGUAUACACGCUGGCAGCGAAGGAGGGAAAGGAAGAAGCAAGGAACAAUACCGGAAAAGCUUGGCAGUGCUGAUUCCUAGUGAUGAUCUUUUUUUUUAACAGAUUGCUGGUGAUGAUCUGUUCUGUAGUCUCACGGUGAGGACACCGAUGGUGCUGCUGGCCUUCUGCUGCUUGCUGGAAAAAGGAAGAAGCAAGGAAAUUGGAAGGUGGAGAAAGAGGAGUAGACAAGGUCUAUCGAUUGGGACUUCUCUGAAAUAGGAGUUUGUUGGGACCUGCAUUUGGUGUGAAGUACUAGUCAGCAUAAACACAGACAAAGGAAGCUUCUGGGUAGCUUCACUAGGUUUCUAUCCUUGAGAAAGGAACGGUUCAACCGUAUCCCCCCUUGCAAUAAAUGAGUGAAGGCGAACACAGAGUAGACAAGGUCUAUGAAUUCAUCAAAAACGUUAUCAGCAGUUUUGCAACUCAAACACUGCCUAAACAACUCGUAGGAAAACACAGCCCAAAUGAAAAGCAAGGCGCACAUACGGCCACCUCACCUGUAUCCAGGAAACGGUGGAAUGUGGUCACCUCUCACAUGGAAAAUCACAUAAGAUGAUUUUUUUUAUUCCAUAACCCAUAUAAGAACUGAUCAAAACACAAAAGGAUAGACAAAUUUUGACUGACCACUGACCAGUCUCUUGCACUAGUACUGCUGCUUCUUUGUGAAAGGAAUCAGCCUUGACGCCUAUGCUACUGCUCGUCGGUGCUGCUGUACUAGGGCUGUGGUGCCUGUGUCGCCUCUCCUCCCCUUCCUGAAUCCUCUGCCGUGGUCGGUUCCUGCCUUGAGCACGGCCGGCACGCCCCGCAGCUUCCGCAGUAAAAGUAAUCUCCGAGGUGGCGAGACCUAACUCCGGCAACACCGGCGACAUGGAGGGUUCAGCGUUCGGCCGUCUUGUGCGGUGCCGGCGCUGGAACACGACACAGGAGAAUGGCCGAACGGCGGACGGGGAAAUGCUGAACAGAACAGGAACGGAUAUUGCGGUAUUGGACUGGGUAAGUAACUCAUCUAUUUGGGCCGCCCCACAUCGUCUUCAUCGCUCGUUUGAAGUUAGAGCAGCAGGAACAACGGCUGCACAGUCCCCUUCUUCUGCUUGAAUAAGGCUAUUCCAACAGGAGACCCAAAUGUAAAAUCUCUACUAUAAUGGAUCAAUUAGAAUUAUAUUAGAUCCCCAAGUAAAACCUUUUCCACUGAGAGCCUUCAACCAUUGUGCACCUAGUAAAAUUAAAAUGUACACAGUAAAUUGUCUCUGUUAAAAUCAAGGGCUACAAAAUAAUUGCUCAUAGACCUCAACUCAAUCUGAUGGCCAUGAUCACUUCCAGGCUUCAACGCGACUCCCAGGCUUCAACACGCUCGCGUCCCUCGACGCACGGCCUCCACCUCCCCAAGCGUGACAGGCAGGAUUCGAUCCCUGCUACCGUUCCCGGCGGCGAGGUGGCACGGGAUCGACGGAGGAACUAGGGGCUGCGGCUGAGGGCUUGGCUCCUGCAGAGCUUCGGUGGCUGUGAAGGUCGACGACAGACCCCGGCUAGGGGCGGUAGCGGCAGCGGAGGCGCGGUCACAGCGACCCGGCCGGCGGCGGAGGAAGGCGAGACGGACACAUUGGUGGGAUUGGUUGGGUGCAGUUGCGAGGUCUCGGAGGAGCUGCUGCUCACGCUGGUGGAAAGCUAGGUAGUCUUGAGAUAGCACACUACGCGCACGGGGUGUUCGUGCAAAUGCUUGGCACGGCCUUGUCAAAUCCUUUGCUCCCCUCCGACGUUGCUGCCAUGGACUCCACGUUGGCACCUGAAAUGGCCCCGAUGCCUCCUAUUCCGCCGCCGCCGUUGUCCCGACCGCCGAGGAUCUCGUGGGGGCGUGGCAGUGAUGACCUUGGAUGAGCAGUUCCAAUCUGUUGCGGGGAUUAGGGAGAGAAGUGCAUCCAGGAGGACGAGUUCAGGCGCCUGCUUGAUAACAAGCCUGUCCCCAUCUACUACAAUGGCUUCGAGCCUUUAGAGGCAUGCACAUCGCACAGGUUUGACCUUCUGUCUUCAGCCCCUGCCUCCAGGGCAUCAUUACUACAAAAAAUGAUAAGUUUGCAUGACUGAGCUAAAGAUAGAUUUGGCUGCAUCGCCGUUCUAAUUUUUUAAUAGCAUGUAGAAAGAGACCAUCGUUUAUAAUGGCACACAAGGAAAAAGCUCAAAUAAAUUGUGUGGAGGUUCAAUGAAGCUACAAAAAAUAUAAAAGAACAUAGAGACCACAUGACAGAUCAUUUACAAAGGGAUAUCAAAUACCAGCAACAAGAACAAGAGAACGGAAGCACAUUUUUGAAUUUAGAAACACGUGAUAGCAACUGUUUAUUUUUUCUUUUUAAUUAAAAAAGAUAAAGGAAAGAAAUAUUCCAGACUCCAGUUCGCCUCACGAAAAAUAAAAACCAUAGCCACAUUUUGUAUCAUCAUAAGUUAUUUAUUAGAGACUCAUUCUAUCAUAGGAAUACAUGUAAGCAAUUAUUUAUGGGCGUUGCUAAGGUAUAACUCUUACCUAGUAAGAGGUAAGAGUUCAAAUAAAUCCGAGACGUUGAAUAUUAGAAGAAAUAAAGUAAGUAGUAAAAAGAAAAAUAAAUAACAUAUUGUUUCCGUUUAUUUACAUGUCUACAUGCAAUUUGUUUCCUUUUGAUUGCAACCAACGACUACAACUUCAUGGAAGACCAUCGGGCAAGAUGGUUUUUAGUCAAAAUUCAACUUUCCAAGACAUGCUAUUUUACGUUUCUUAUUAAUUGGGCAUGGUCACGUUACAACUUAAAAAAAUAUUACAUUACAAUCAUGUACACUAUGGAUUGAAUAAGCUUUACCUUUUUAUAAUGUCGAAAACAAAAUGAAUUUAAAUUUCUCAUCGUCACGUUCCAACAAAUUAAUUAAAUAAAUUUUACAAAAUCAUUUUGGGUUAGCUAUUAUAAAUCAUUGUGUUAUUAUAUACACAAUAAAAUAAAAUGGUUGCGCAUGUGUGAACUAUGUCCCCCCAUCGUGUGUCCAUGUCCAUGUUAUUAAAAACCUAAGAUCAUGUUAGGAAAGUAAGAUCAUGCAUGCAUAUUAUAUACAUAAUACGAAGGUAUUUUCCUUCUGAGGUAAUAUUUGACAAUUGCUAUUCAGAUCGACGGUUCAUAGUUUUUUAGAUGUACCAUAGCAAGGCCCAUUAUUCAUAAUCAAGGAAUAACAGUACAAGUGAAAUGAUAUAAAUGGAACCACCUGCGUUCCUCGCAAGUACCAACCGUGGACUGUGGAGGGUCGCCAAACAGAGAACCAAGGGGACGGCAUCACCAACAGAUCGGCUUCUGAUCGACUUCAGCUGGGUGGUGAGUCUGCAGAGACGAGGGCGCAGCGGCGUUGGGGUCACCACGAGGUGUCUGUUUAGAGCAUGGAAUGAAAUGUUUUAAAUAAAAUAUUGGAGACCUUAUUCAUUGUGCUGGAGAAUGAAUCAGUGGAACAUGCUAUACCUUCUCUCAUUUCUUUCAAGUGGCAAUAUUAAUCGAAGUGCUUCCAGCGGAUGUGUGAAAUCUGUGGCCAGCUUUCUCCAUCAGGCUCUCGGCAGUUCUUCCUCAAGUCGUCACAACCAUAUAGACUUAUGCGCUGGAGGGAGGAUGGAAGAACUGGUAAAGAUGUUAUGUUGGGGCAAUGGCGGAUAUCAAGACUCUCCAGACUUGAGAGAAAUUUUAGAUUUCCUGGCAGGAACUCCAUUUUGCAUUGCCAAAAGUACAGGUGCUUGACAGAUAAGAGAUUUGCACAUUCUCCAAAGGAAGCUGACGCCUCGUUGCAAUAACGAAGAAUAAGGUUCGGUGGGACUAUAAACCCUUCAGCCUUGAGCAUCAAGUUGAGCAGUACGAAACUACUAACGACGAGCAAUUGCUGGACACGAAACUGUGAGAUGCAC